rnacentral:rRNA from 1 species
UUGAUCCUGGCUCAGAAUCAACGCUGGCGGCGUGCCUAACACAUGCAAGUCGAACGCGAAAGCCCCGCAAGGGGUAAGUAGAGUGGCGCACGGGUGAGUUACACGUGGAUAACCUGCCUUUGAGUGGGGAAUAACCUUCCGAAAGGAGGUCUAAUACCGCAUAACACCUUUAGGCAAAGGCCUAGGGGUUAAAAGGAGCUAUUCGCUCAAAGAGGGGUCCGCGCCUGAUUAGCUAGUUGGCGGGGUAACUGCCCACCAAGGCUUCGAUCAGUAGCCGUCCUGAGAGGGAGCACGGCCACUCUGGAACUGAGACACGGUCCAGACUCCUACGGGAGGCAGCAGUGGGGAAUUUUUGGCAAUGGGCGAAAGCCUGACCAAGCAACGCCGCGUGGGUGAUGAUGUAUCUUGGUACGUAAAACCCUUUCGGCAGGGACGAACCUAAUGACGGUUCCUGCGGAAGAAGCCCCGGCUAACUCCGUGCCAGCAGCCGCGGUAAUAAUGU